rnacentral:rRNA from 1 species
UACGUAGGGGGCAAGCGUUGUCCGGAAUUAUUGGGCGUAAAGAGCGUGUAGGCGGCCAGAUAAGUCCGCUGUGAAAUCUCGAGGCUCAACUUCGAGCUGUCGGUGGAAACUAUCUGGCUAGAGUCCGGAAGAGGAGAAUGGAAUUCCUGGUGUAGCGGUGAAAUGCGCAGAUAUCUGGAGGAACACCGGUGGCGAAGGCGGCAUCCUGGACCGGCAUUGACGCUGAGGCGCGAAAGCCAGGGGAGCAAACGGG